UAGGGAAUCUUCGGCAAUGGGGGGAACCCUGACCGAGCAACGCCGCGUGAGUGAAGAAGGUUUUCGGAUCGUAAAGCUCUGUUGUUAAGGAAGAACGAGUGUGAGAAUGGAAAGUUCAUGCUGUGACGGUACUUAACCAGAAAGGGACGGCUAACUACGUGCCAGCAGCCGCGGUAAUACGUAAGGGGCGAGCGUUGUCCGGAAUUAUUGGGCGUAAAGAGUGCGUAGGCGGCAAAUUAAGUCAGAUGUGAAAACUAAGGGCUCAACCCAUAGAUUGCAUCUGAAACUGAUAUGCUUGAGUCAAGGAGAGGAAAGUGGAAUUCCUAGUGUAGCGGUGGAAUGCGUAGAUAUUAGGAGGAAUACCGGUGGCGAAGGCGACUUUCUGGACUUGAACUGACGCUGAGGCACGAAAGCGUGGGGAGCAAACAGG
rnacentral:rRNA from 2 species